rnacentral:lncRNA from 1 species
UUCUCUUUUAAAGGYAGACUCAAUGCGGUGCUCGGGGACCGAGACUCGAGUCUUCGUAAGUGACUUUCUUCUCCUGGCAAGUAAAAUCGUGUUGUAAAGGGAAACUCACUGCAGAACUCACAAAGUGCGAUGCAACGAUCAGGUUAUUUACCGCGGAGCUUGGUAAGUCCUUUUGCAUUUUUUUGUUGUUAAUCUGUAUGUGUUUCAUCUGCCUUGCGAAAAGCGGGGUCUUCAAGGCCAAAUUACAGAAGCUUAAAACCCCAAAGUCAUGCAAAAAUAAUUGCAAGCGGGGUAACUUAGGCUAGAAUAAAAAUUACCUUGUAGUCUGAAUUACA